rnacentral:rRNA from 1 species
ACGGAGGGUGCAAGCGUUAAUCGGAAUUACUGGGCGUAAAGCGCGCGUAGGCGGUUUAGUAAGUCGGGUGUGAAAGCCCCGGGCUCAACCCGGGAACUGCAUCCGAUACUGCUAGACUAGAGUAUGGUAGAGGGAAGUGGAAUUCCACAUGUAGCGGUGAAAUGCAUAGAGAUGUGGAGGAACACCAAUGGCGAAGGCAACUUCCUGGACCAAUACUGACGCUGAGGUGCGAAAGCGUGGGGAGCAAACAGG